UAGGGAAUAUUGCACAAUGGGGGAAACCCUGAUGCAGCGACGCCGCGUGAAGGAAGAAGUAUCUCGGUAUGUAAACUUCUAUCAGCAGGGAAGACAAUGACGGUACCUGACUAAGAAGCCCGCUAACUACGUGCCAGCAGCCGCGGUAAUACGUAGGGGCAAGCGUUAUCCAGGAUUUGCUGGGUGUAAAGGGAGCGUAGACGGAUCUGCAAGUCUGGAGUGAAAGCCCGGGGCUCAACCCCGGGACUGCUUUGGAAACUGUGGAUCUAGAGUGCCGGAGGGGUAAGCGGAAUUCCUAGUGUAGCGGUGAAAUGCGUAGAUAUUAGGAGAACACCAGUGGCGAAGGCGGCUUUACUGGACGGUAACUGACGUUGAGGCUCGAAAGCGUGGGGAGCAAACA
rnacentral:rRNA from 1 species